GACGAACGCUGGCGGCGUGCUUAACACAUGCAAGUCGAACGAAGAGCGAGGGAAGCUUGCUGCUAGCAAUCGUAGUGGGGGAGGGGUGGGUAACAGGUAAGGAACCUGCCCUCGAGAGGGGGACAACAGUCGGAAACGAUUUCUAGUGCCACAUACGAUCGGACCUGGGCAUCGAGGAGAGAGGAAAGGUGGCCUCUAUUGAUAAGCUAUCACUGAAGGAGGGGACUUAGUUGGAUUAGCUGGUUGGAGGGGUAACGGGGUACCAAGGCGAGGACCAGUAGCCGCUCCGAGAGCAUCAAUCGACACAUUGGGACUGAGACACGGCCCAGACUCCUACGGGAGGCAGCAGUCGGGACUCUUCCGCGAUGCAGGAAAGUCUGACGGAGCACAGCCGCGUGAGUGAUGACGGCCUUCGGCUUGUAGAGCUCUGUUAGCCGGGAGGAAAGAAAUUUUUGCGAACAGUUAGAAUGAUGACAGGACCCGGAAUAGAAGGCCCGGCUUACUUCCGU
rnacentral:rRNA from 1 species